UACAGAGGGGGCAAGCGUUAUUCGGAAUUAUUGGGCGUAAAGGGCGCGUAGGCGGCCUGGCAAGUGGAAGGUGAAAUCCCUCGGCUUAACCGAGGAACUGCCCUCCAAACUGCUUGGCUUGAGUCCGGGAGAGGUGAGUGGAAUUCCCAGUGUAGCGGUGAAAUGCGUAGAUAUUGGGAGGAACACCAGUGGCGAAGGCGGCUCACUGGCUCGUAACUGACGCUCAUGCACGACAGCGUGGGGAUCAAACAGG
rnacentral:rRNA from 1 species